AUGCUAGUGCUCAAAUUAGAUUUCCAGAAAGCUUUCGAUAGUGUUAGCUGGGAUGCUCUGAAGCUCAUUUUGGCUGCCAGGGGUUUUGGAUGCAGAUGGGUCAGAUGGAUACAUGACAUCCUUUCGACCAGCUCGUCCAAGAUAGUUAUCAACGGAUCUGUUGGAGAUGAGAUC
rnacentral:rRNA from 1 species